rnacentral:lncRNA from 1 species
CAAGGAUCAGGUCGUCCAUCCUUGCCCAUGAUCAGAUCACACCCGGCCUGCCUCACCAACACCAAGGUUGAUAACCAGCAAUUCCUUAUGAUCAAUAUCAUAAUUGACAAUAUGUUCCAGCACACAAACAUAUGAUCAGAUGUCCUAACACAAGGAUCUGACCCCAAUAUGCCCUCAGGUGCAAUUUCUACCCCAAGCAAACCUGCUCCAAAAAUCAAUUAAAAUUCGUGACAAUUCAUGAUAAAUCAUAACUAAGAG